UUAUCUGGCUGUAAACCGCCCAGAGACGUAAGUUUUGGGUGGUAUAAAAAAUGUUAAAUAAAUAAAUAAAUAAACAAACAAACCUCAGCUAGCAGCAGGACUAAAAAGCUGGGCUAAGCGACGCUGGGCUGCUGGGAUCGGGCCCAAUCCCAGCGGCUCUUAUGUGUAGCUUAAUUCAGACUGGGAGUCCCUAGCCUGGGUUAGGCUGCGCGUGAGAAUAGUCUCCUUGUCUGUGUUAUCUUUCCUCCCAUUUUAAUUUAAUGAUAGAGUUGCUACUUGCUAGGCUCCCAUUUUGACACAGACAAAGUCUCCAAAGAGCCACGGGAUAUUGUUAAAAUGAAGACAGAAAAUCCAGAAAGCAGAAGAGGGACAUUUUUAAUUUUAAUAUACAUUCUGGUCAAGGUAGCUCUUUCACUCAGCUUACAAAUGUGGGGGAAAUUCAGAUAUUACUCUGUGCAUCAUAUGUGGAAAUGCCCAUAAACACUAAAGCCUUUCUUUUUACAAAGUAAGCAUUUUGUGAAUGUGGCAAUGGUGUAACUCAAUGAGAUCUAGAAAUCUGCAUUCACAUAUCAUAUUUAGGUCAUUUGUACAGAAAUGUGCUUUACAAUCAACAAUCCCACUGUUUCCCGUCCAGGUGUUUGCUAUUCUGCUUCUAAGAAAGGAACUUGCUCACCGCCAUACAGAGGAAGUGAGACCUAAAAAAUCUGAUCAAGGUAGAAACUACGCAGAACCCAUGAUUUAACUAGGUCUUGUCUCUUCCAGUGAACAAGCUAUAAGGAUGGCAGGAAAGAUUCAGAGAACAAAAGCUGUGGAUUACCAGACCUCAUGGCUGAUAAAUCUUUGUACUAUUUCCGGGUAAACUGUACUAGUGUUUCUGUGUGACCCAGCUUCAGGGGUUCCUGGAUAAGUCCAAAUAACUAGAUGUUUCCCCAUCUAGCAUCAAGCCUUGAUUAAGUAUAGAAAUAGUGUUUGUCGCCUUGACUGAUUAUCAUUGCUGGGAACUGCAGUGGGACGGAGUUGCUGUUGGUUCUAAUGGACCUCUCGGCGGCAUUUGAUACCAUUAACCAUGGUAUCCUUAUGGGCUGUCUUGCAAGCAUGGGAAUCGGAGGCAUUGCUUUACAGUGAUUCGUCUAUCCUGAACAGUAGGUCCCAGAAAGUGAUGCUAGGGACUUCUGCUUAACACCAUAGCCUUCAGUAAGUAUACCGUGUCCCCCAAGGUUCAGUCUUGUCUCCUUUGCUAUUCAACAUCUACGUGAAGCAGCUGGGAGAGGUCAGUGGAUAACUGGGACUUUAUUUUAUCAGUAUGCUAAUGAUAAUCCAGCUCUUAACUCUCUUUCUCGUUAGAUUCCAGGGACAUGGUAGAUGUGCUGAAUCAGUGCCCGGAGGCAGUGAAAGUCUGGCCAAUAAACUGAUUCCUGACAAGUCACAGAUGCUAAUGGUCAAGAAGAAUCCUAAUCAGAAAGUAGGGCUGCAACCAAUGUUGGAUGUGGUUGCAUUCCAUCUGAAAACUCAGAUUUGAAGUCUUGGAGUGCUCCUGCACAUGGCUUGACUCUUUUGUACCCAGGUGUUAGCCAUAGCAGGGGGUGCCUUUGCCCAGCUAAGGCUGGUGCUCCUGCUGAUCCUUGAGAAAGCAGACUGGGCCAUGCUUUGGUCACCUGCAGCUCAGACUACUUUACAUGCCCUUGAAGAGCAUUCAGAAGCUCCAGCUAGAGCAGAACACAGCAGCCAGGUUAUUCAGUGGCACUGGCCCACAGUACCAUGUAACAUUGGUAUUGCUGCAACUACACAGACUCCUAAUUGCUUCACCAAUUAAAGGUGCUGGUUAUGACCUUUACAGCCCUAAACGACUUGGACCCAAAGUAACUGAAGGACCACCUCCCCCCCUGCCCCCAUAUUAGGCUUCCCAUUCUUUAUGGUCAUCUGGGGAGGCUCUCCUGUCUGUCCCACCUUUAUCAGAGGGGUGGCUACAUGGGAGAAAGUCUUCUCAUAUGAAGUGCUUAGGUUAUGGAACUCGCUCAUGAAAUCCAUCUUGCCCACUCUGUACCUUGCUCCUGUUAUCUAAAGAUGAAUCUGUUUAAAGUUGCUUUUAAUCUCUCUUAAUCCUGGCCCCUCUGUGUAUCUUUUAUUGUAUCUUUUAGCUGUUGCUGCAUUGCAUUAUCCAUAAGAGAUCAUUUUUAUCUGAAAGUUGUAAGCUGCCUUGAGCUUGCUGAAAAAAGUGGGGUAAAUAUUCUAACUAAAUAAAUGCAAUCUAUGUGAUAAAUACUUUUCUCCCAUCCGUAAAGUGGAGACUGGGGGAAGUAAGAGGAACAUGAUGUGGAAUGCAGUAACAAGAAUCCAGAUAUGACAAAACAGACAGAGAUUCUAGUAUCAGUUUUGUUUCUUAUGAAAGGCACAUUUAUCAGGAAUUAUUCCAAAAGCAGCAGUUCGAUAGUUGCACAAAUGGGUGCUGUCAUGAAACCAGCCUUUAUUCAGCCCAAAGGUUCUUUUAAAUCACAUUCCAGAAUUUUCCUUCAGUCUAAACUCCAUUUCCAGCCUUCUCUGCCUCAAGUAACAGCCUGCUGCCUACCCGAUAAUACAUGUGUGAUUCCCUGACUGUCAGAAACAACCAAAAGGAGAGCAUAGCUGUGAGGAACUCUUGGCUGAGUCCAGGUUGCAUAGCUCCAGAGAGCAUGCAGAGUCCACCAUGAUGCAAGAUUUUAAUUUCUGAACUUCAGCCUAACAAGAUCUUUUAGCCUCCUGCCUAGAAUCAGGCAGGAAGAAAAGGAGGACACUGAAGACGUACUUGUUUUCCCAGGCCUUCACCUGAGAUUCAAUUUUUAAAUUUUAAUGUGUUUUUAACAUGUUUUUAUCUAAUUUUGAUCUUAUGGAUUUUAAAUGUGUUAGAGUUUAUGUUUUAAUUCUGUACACCGCCUCAAAA